rnacentral:rRNA from 1 species
CUACGGAGGGGGCAAGCGUUGUUCGGAAUUACUGGGCGUAAAGGGCGCGCAGGCUGUUUUGUUAGUCAGGCGUGAAAUCCCCGGGCUCAACCCGGGAACUGCGUUUGAUACUGCGGAACUAGAGAUCGGGAGAGGGUAGUGGAAUUCCCAGUGUAGAGGUGAAAUUCGUAGAUAUUGGGAAGAACACCAGUGGCGAAGGCGGCUACCUGGACCGAUACUGACGCUGAGGCGCGAAAGCGUGGGGAGCAAACAGGAUUAGAAACCCGGGUAGUCC